rnacentral:lncRNA from 12 species
ACAAAGAUAGGCAUUGAAAGGCUUGGCUGGAUUGACAUCAGUAGCAAAAACAAAGCAUUAUUUAUGAAGCCUGCCUGGCUACAAUUUUCCAAUGGUAAUUUCUAUUCCCUGACUCAUUCCUCUUUUAGCAUACACAUUUAAUGAAAACAUUAUGGAACAAAACCCAAAAGCAAUCUGAUGCCAAAGCACACUUAAGUAUUGCUUAGCAUGAUGGAAAAUGUUGUAAGAACAAAUCACUGUGACUGGGAUAUUAAUGGGACAAGCCAUGGUUUCAAAGUGCUGUGGGUGUAGAAUUUGGUACACCAGGUAAACAAAGCAGCAGUUUUUGCCUUUGUACCACACAGAAAAACCACACCCUUGUCUAAUUGCCAGGCUAAAUCUUCUCUCCUUUUCAGGAAAGCUGUAGUGUUUGUACUUGGAGGCAGUUUCCCUGUGGAAAUGAUCACGAUGGACCAGACAGCUGAGUCAGCACCGGUAAUAUCAGAACAUAGACAACCAACAGCUUCCAAUCCAGAUGGCUUCUGGUGCUGCCUUCAUGUUCUUAAGUGAAGGAGGGUGAGACUUUGUGAACCAUUAUAAUAUCCUUCCAAUCUGUGCAUUGCCAUUUUGAUGCUAAUGCAGUAUUCCUAAGGAAUAUUCCCCCAACUGCAAGUUGCUAAACAGAUGCAUUCUCCUGACAUUCCCCUUCAAUUCAUAGGGAGUUUUGAAUUUAAAGACACAUAAAACUGUCUCUUUGAAGUAAAAGCACUUGUUUCCACAUCCACCAGAUAGCACUGUAUACAUUUAAGGAAAAGUUAAGAUGUUUUGAUUUUAAACUUAAAUUUCACCUUCUUUACAGUAUCUCUAAGCCAAUAAUCAAGAUACCAUUUUUUAGCAUUUUGUUUUUUUCUUUUUAAUGUAGAAGGCCUGCAGCCUAAUUAAUAUCCUGUGAAUUCUAAAGGAAUCUAGCAUACUUGAGCCCAAAGCAGAUAGAGGCUGAGAUUCAAUCCUUUUAAACAGCCUAAUUUAACCCAAUCCAUGUGUGCAAGAGGUUGCUUGGUCAACAUUUUAUAGCAGACCCUAAAAAUCUGAAGUAGUUUUGAGAUUUUCUUACAAUAGAAGUAAUUUCACAGUUACUUGGCAUUUUUCCCAGAGUGUCCUGAUGUUGUUGAGAAAAUUCUUGAUCAAGAGUGGUUAAGUGUUGGAUGGAGGAAAGCCACCAGACAAGACACAGGCAAGAAUCUCCUAGUUCAUUGACUACACAAAAAAUUAAAAUUUAGUAAGAAAGGAAUUUUCCCAGGAUUAUGCUAGUUAAAAAUAAAAAUGUAGUUUGAUGGUGUAUUUUGUAGAGU